GCUUCACCAGUACUGAACGAACUUGCACUACAUCCGGCAGUUUAUACUUUUGCACUGGAGCUAACCAUUCUGUUACCAAGUCUAUACGGCAUGGGCACGCGGGUUGCUUGUCAACAUCUAUUUUUUAUAGAUUUCUCACAGUUGUGCCUGGUGGAAUCGUUGAGAUUACCUGGAAUCUAGGACACCGAAAUGCUCAGGAAAAUGUCAUAAAAUGCUCAGGCAGAGACCAGAUGAAGUCGUGACGACAGUGUUGUUGCCAGGGACAUAAGUUAAAUCAUAUAUAGCUCCUCCUCUUGUGUUCCUACCGCUGCACUUGGUUCCUCUUUGAUACAUCACACUAAAACCUUGCUCAAAAGAAUUUUCAGUUGAUCUUUGGAUAUUGCACUUAGUUGCAUGAAACCUUGCCUGUCCAAUUAUGCUCUGUUCUAUAAAAAGUUUUGUAAAUUAAUAGUAGUGUUCUGUUUUCAUCCAGUGUCUAAUUGUGUUGAUUUAUUUCUGCAGUAAUAUCUGUCGCAUCAGUAUUUCGUACAACCAAGGGAACGAAAGGAGAUUGACAUUAAGAUUUAUGACACCGAUAAUGCCAAACACCAAGGUGACUGGGAACCGAGAAGGGCCACAAUCUGUGGAAGUGCAUAGGAGCUGAAUAGGAUGUAUGACCUGCACGGCUUGCAUAGUUGCAGUUUUGGUUUCAUAUGGGCUGUCAAUUUAGAUAUAAAGUCGUGAAUGUUCCUUGGCCACAGAACUAAAGUCUUGCGCAUGCCGUUCUUCACACACUUCUGUUGAUAACCACACGGCAAUCCAAAAUUGAAUACGACCUCUGUGGAUGAUAACCUUUGAGCAUACAUGAAG